AAACUGAUACUGUUGUACUGGAAAACAUCAUCAACUUACAACAGGUAGAUGAAAACCAAACAGAAGAAACUCCUGUAGU